AGGAGGAACAACCGCAGUGGCGGGGCCAGCUCUGCAGCCCUGGAGUCAGCCCCCGCAGUAGCUCCGGAGCUCUCCGUCUGUAGGCCUGGGGGCUCCGGGCGGGG
rnacentral:pre_miRNA from 1 species